rnacentral:rRNA from 1 species
AGCUCCAAUAGCGUAUAUUAAAGUUGUUGCGGUUAAAAAGCUCGUAGUUGGAUUUCUGUCGGUGAGUGUCAGUCCGCCCACAGCGGUAGGUACGUGAUGCGCCACCGGCAUCUUCCUGGGGAAUGUGUCUGCUCUUUAUUGAGUGGUACAUAAGCCAGGACUUUUACUUUGAAGAAAUGAGAGUGUUUCAAGCAGGCAUGCGCCGUGAAUACGUUAGCAUGGGAUAAUAGCAUCGCAUGGGAUAAUAGCAUCGGACCUCGUUCCAAAGCUGUUGGUUUCUUGGACCGAGGUAAAGGUGAAUAGGGAUUGUUGGGGGCAUUCGUAUUUGACUGUCAGAGGUGAAAUUCUUG